rnacentral:tRNA from 1 species
GGGCGUUUAGCUCAGCUGGUCAGAGCACUGCCCUUACAAGGCAGGAGUCGGGGGUUCGAGUCCCUCAACGCCCA